AUAGAAUUUAAGAGCUGACUUGAUAGAUUUUCUUUGAGUAUUGAUUUAAUGAGAUUUGAGUGUGUAUUGACUUUAUAAGAGCUUUGCAAAGUUGGAGUUUUGAGUGACUCUGGAUUUAUAAAAUAAAGUGGGUGAUACUUUUUGGAGAAUUUUGUAGUUUUGGCAAUAGAUCUAUAGGUGAAAUUUUGAGGAUUUGUGGGUAUAUAUG
rnacentral:lncRNA from 1 species